GGUUUCAUUUUUUAACUCUUCAUUUCAUUUUUCAUUACUUCCCCUUUGUAACCUUUAUCCUCUCUCUUUAGAAAUCAAACUGCAGGUGACGACCACUAUUUUUUUGCCGAUUACCACCAUUGUCCAUGGUUCUUCGGGUCCCCAUUUCAAUCCAAAUUUCAACCGCUUUUUCCUCUUCUCCCCCUCUUUCACUUCCCCAGUUUAGGAUUUACCAAAAAGCUCCUUAAAGUCCUGCUUUUAAACCCCAAAAACUUAAAAUCGUUGCUACCUUUCUUCGUCAUUUACCGCUGUUUGAUCGCUGAAAAUCAUUCCUCCUUCCUUCCCUCUUCGUUAUCUACCUUUUGAUCCGCUUGAUUCCCUCAAAUCCCCGUUUCAUUGUGAGUCACCGCUAUUGUCGUCAUGUAGCAGCUCCGUUGCCGAUGUUCGUCGCUAAAAAAACAUCGUUUAUAAGGUAUAUGUCACAAAAGGCAAAUGCUACAAAAAAGUUAUCUUUAUUGCUUAUAUAUGGUGAUUAAUUAGUUAAAUUUUGGAAUUUUUUACGAACAAGUAUUAAAGUUAAAAUUGGUUGAUUUGCGAGGUGGGUUACUUGGACUGCCAUAAUAGAGCGAGAACAUGUUUUCCAUGUCGCCCACAUGGUUGUGUCAUCUAAUAACAGUUUCAUUCAUGUAAUUGAUCUUUCUGGAAGAGAAAGUAUGGUUCAUAUGACUUGGAUUACAGAGCUGAAAAAGGAUUGUUGAAGGAUUGCUGGAGACUCCGUUUAGCUCAGAAAAAUAUAUGAUGCUUUACACACUAUAUACAACAUGUGUAGUCAGAAGAUGCCUCAUGAUUUUUUUCGACAGCUUUAGGACAAGUACUGAGAGGCAUUUGAAAAACAUAUUACUUAAAGGUGAUCAACAAUAAAAGCUAUGAUGAAGCAAAGGCAGAUUUAUGGUCAUGUGGUGUGAUACUUUUCUCUUAAUAGUUGGUUACUUGCAUUUAAGGAUUCUAAUUUAACCGCUCUGCAUAAAAAGAGUGUGGCAUGACUAAACCGGAAGAGAAACAUGUUGAUGAAUGAUGAGAUCUAAUUAAAGUGCUUGCAUUGGAAUGAUCAGAACGGAAUGUGUUGGUUCAAAGUCAAUUGCUAAAUUGGUUUGAGUUGACAUAUAGGUAUUAUUUAUAUAUAUGUAUAUAUUUGUAUGGGAGCUAACUUUGUUGGAGGGAAUUUACAAGAGAGCCCAAAACGCGUAUAAAUUAAAUAAGAAAAUUCAUAAAAAUGAUCUAAUUGAUGGAGCUGCAUGCAUGCAUAAUGUGUUAUAUAGUCUAUAGAAAUUCAUGAGUAUAUGGCUAGAAUUUAUGUUGUAUUUGGGUUUGGUUAUAGAGAUUUAUUCAAGCACAAUGCUUUAUAAUGAUAUAAAGUGAAUUAUUAUAGGAUAGACAACCACAAUACUUUAUAGAGAUUUAGACUUAUUAUAUGUCUAUUAAUGAUAUACCAUUGCUGUCUAAUUGCAGUCAACUGAUUAAAGUGCCUGCUUUACACAAUCUUAUAAACAAAGAGGCGUCUACAAGCUAUAUAAAUAUUACAAAACAAGUUCGACCGACUUAAAAUGAUCACUCAAGUUUGAUCAAAUUAUAUGAUAGAAACACAACAUUCUACAGUGGUGAAAGCUGAAAAGUACAAAUCUUUCUUUGUUUCAAUUUCUUUUUUUACUUUUUAUAAUUAAUCCAAAAAGUAGCUAUUAGAUGGAAAUAACGAUUAAAAUCAAGUAAAAAAACUCUCCAAUUUCAACCGGUCGUCACCAAUGUCCUCGGUAUUUCGAUAUAUUAAUAUCGAUUUCGUGGACCAAAACCAGUUUGUGGCUGAAAGAGACGAA